rnacentral:misc_RNA from 1 species
GAUGAAGAACGUAGCGAAAUGCGAUAAGUAGUGUGAAUUGCAGAAUUCAGUGAAUCAUCGAAUCUUUGAACGCACAUUGCGCCCGCUGGUAUUCCGGCGGGCAUGCCUGUUCGAGCGUCAUUUCAACCCUCAAGCCCCCGGGUUUGGUGUUGGGGAUCGGCUCUGCCCUCUGGGCGGUGCCGCCCCCGAAAUACAUUGGCGGUCUCGCUGCAGCCUCCAUUGCGUAGUAGCUAACACCUCGCAACUGGAACGCGGCGCGGCCAUGCCGUAAAACCCCAACUUCUGAAUGUUGACCUCGGAUCAGGUAGGAAUACCCGCUGAACUUAAGCAUAUCAAUAAGCGGAGGA